UUCGUUUCCUCGGCGGGUUCGCCCGCCGAUUGGACAAUUUAAACCAUUUGCAGUUGCAAUCAGCGUCUGAAAAAACAUAAUAGUUACAACUUUCAACAACGGAUCUCUUGGUUCUGGCAUCGAUGAAGAACGCAGCGAAAUGCGAUAAGUAGUGUGAAUUGCAGAAUUCAGUGAAUCAUCGAAUCUUUGAACGCACAUUGCGCCCCUUGGUAUUCCAUGGGGCAUGCCUGUUCGAGCGUCAUUUGUACCUUCAAGCUCUGCUUGGUGUUGGGUGUUUGUCUCGCCUCUGCGCGUAGACUCGCCUCAAAACAAUUGGCAGCCGGCGUAUUGAUUUCGGAGCGCAGUACAUCUCGCGCUUUGCAUUCAGAACGACGACGUCCAAAAGUACAUUUUUACACUCUUGACCUC
rnacentral:rRNA from 1 species